rnacentral:siRNA from 1 species
GAGUGUUGAUUGCUGGAACAAACU